UACGUAGGUGGCAAGCGUUGUCCGGAUUUAUUGGGUUUAAAGGGCGCGUAGGCGGCCCGCUAAGUCGAACGUGAAAUCCCUGGGCUCAACCCAGGAACUGCGUCCGAUACUGGCAGGCUUGAAUCCGGGAGAGGGAUGCGGAAUUCCAGGUGUAGCGGUGAAAUGCGUAGAUAUCUGGAGGAACACCGGUGGCGAAGGCGGCAUCCUGGACCGGUAUUGACGCUGAGGCGCGAAAGCCAGGGGAGCAAACGGG
rnacentral:rRNA from 1 species